rnacentral:rRNA from 1 species
AUUGAACGCUGGCGGCAUGCCUUACACAUGCAAGUCGAACGGUAACAGGUCUUCGGAUGCUGACGAGUGGCGAACGGGUGAGUAAUACAUCGGAACGUGCCUAGUAGUGGGGGAUAACUACUCGAAAGAGUGGCUAAUACCGCAUGAGAUCUACGGAUGAAAGCAGGGGAUCGCAAGACCUUGUGCUACUAGAGCGGCCGAUGGCAGAUUAGGUAGGUGGUGGGAUAAAAGCUUACCAAGCCGACGAUCUGUAGCUGGUCUGAGAGGACGAUCAGCCACACUGGGACUGAGACACGGCCCAGACUCCUACGGGAGGCAGCAGUGGGGAAUUUUGGACAAUGGGCGCAAGCCUGGUCCAGCAAUGCCGCGUGCAGGAUGAAGGCCUUCGGGUUGUAAACUGCUUUUGUACGGAACGAAAAGCCCUGGGUUAAUACCCUGGGGUCAUGACGGUACCGUAAGAAUAAGCACCGGCUAACUACGUGCCAGCCGCCGCCGUAAGAC